AUUGAACGCUGGCGGCAUGCUUUACACAUGCAAGUCGAACGGUAACAGGCCUUCGGGUGCUGACGAGUGGCGAACGGGUGAGUAAUGCAUCGGAACGUACCCAGAGGUGGGGGAUAACGCAGCGAAAGCUGUGCUAAUACCGCAUGUGAUCUGAGGAUGAAAGCGGGGGACCGAGCAGCAAUGUUUGGCCUCGCGCCUUUGGAGCGGCCGAUGUCGGAUUAGCUAGUUGGUGGGGUAAAGGCCUACCAAGGCGACGAUCCGUAGCUGGUCUGAGAGGACGACCAGCCCCACUGGGACUGAGCCACGGCCCAGACUCCUACGGGAGGCAGCAGUGGGGAAUUUUGGACAAUGGGCGCAAGCCUGAUCCAGCAAUGCCGCGUGCGGGAAGAAGGCCUUCGGGUUGUAAACCGCUUUUGGCAGGAACGAAACGGUGUCCGCUAAUACCGGGCGCUAAUGACGGUACCUGCAGAAUAAGCACCGGCUAACUACGUG
rnacentral:rRNA from 1 species